rnacentral:rRNA from 1 species
UACGAAGGGGGCUAGCGUUGCUCGGAAUUACUGGGCGUAAAGGGAGCGUAGGCGGAUAGUUCAGUCAGAGGUGAAAGCCCAGGGCUCAACCUUGGAACUGCCUUUGAUACUGGCUAUCUUGAGUUUGGGAGAGGUAUGUGGAACUCCGAGUGUAGAGGUGAAAUUCGUAGAUAUUCGCAAGAACACCAGUGGCGAAGGCGGCUCACUGGCCCGAUACUGACGCUGAGGCACGAAAGCGUGGGGAGCAAACAGG